AGUGAACGCUGGCGGUAGGCCUAACACAUGCAAGUCGAACGGCAGCACAGUAAGAGCUUGCUCUUACGGGUGGCGAGUGGCGGACGGGUGAGGAAUACAUCGGAAUCUACUUUUUCGUGGGGGAUAACGUAGGGAAACUUACGCUAAUACCGCAUACGACCUACUGGUGAAAGCAGGGGAUCUUCGGACCUUGCGCGAUUGAAUGAGCCGAUGUCGGAUUAGCUAGUUGGCGGGGUAACGGCCCACCAAGGCGACGAUCCGUAGCUGGUCUGAGAGGAUGAUCAGCCACACUGGAACUGAGACACGGUCAAGACUCCUACGGGAGGAAGCAGUGGGGAAUAUUGGACAAUGGGCGCAAGCCUGAUCCAGCCAUACCGCGUGGGUGAAGAAGGCCUUCGGGUUGUAAAGCACUUUUGUUGGGAAAGAAAAGCAGCAGGUUAAUACCCCGCUGUUCUGACGGUACAAAAAGAAUAAGCACCGGCUAACUUCGUG
rnacentral:rRNA from 1 species